rfam:Salmo salar isolate Sally breed double haploid chromosome ssa14, whole genome shotgun sequence.
CAUUCACAACCCUGGUAAGUUGCUCUGGAUAAGAGCGUCUGCUAAAUGACCUAAA